GUUUAUCUCUGUGAUGAAGUAUUACAUCGGCAAAAAUGCCGGGAAUAUCCGGCUCUGUUCCUCAUCAUCUUCCUCGUCAUGGGAUGGCCGGGAAUGCUGGAGAGGCUCCAAGCUAUGAGAAGAUGGAGCAGUGUCAGUGACAAGGUCAAAGUUGGAGGUGAAACUGCUCAUAUUGAUGAGGUUAGUGCAAGCUGAGGAGUUGUUAGAGUAGGCUGGUUGAAGAUGUUGGUAAUGAUGAAGCUGCUGCUGCUGCUGCUGGGAGUUUUGAAGAACAUUUGCCAUUUCAAACCUACUGUUUAUUAGCUGAGUUUGGACCAUUGCAAGCUCGGCUUGCAAAGAUGCAACCUCAUGUGGUUUUCUAAGAUUAAGUAUGCUCUGAGGGCAAAAUUCCAAAACAGCAAGAGCUGCCACAAAAACAUUGCAGGCCCUUAGACCUGACCCUAAUUUCCCCAUAGCUAAAAGUGAGCUCUUCUCCUUCUUUUAUGUC
rnacentral:misc_RNA from 1 species